AGAGAUGCUGAGACAGUUCAGAAGGAACAACACCAGGAGCCACAGCAGCAGCCAAGGAAACUUAUAUGGAAGUAUUUUUGAUUUUUACUUUUCUUUCCCCUUGCCCUUUCUGACUCUAACAUAACUAACCAUCACCUUCCCUUUCCCCCUCAUUUCAUCUUCCUUAUUUAAGUGUUGUUGUUUUCUGUUUCUUCAACUACUUGUGUGGUAAUGAUUUUUUUUCUUUUGAAUUUUGUUGAUUUGUUGCAUUGAUUUGAAAUUUUACUAAUCUUCUGCCAGUUGUAUACUUUCAGGGACUAAAAUGAGGAACAACGAUGGAGGAGCAAGGUCGACCAACAAAAGUUGAGGAGAUGACGAGUCCAUUUCCUAGCUAUAUACAGCAGUCAACAUGACCCAAAGUGAAGAAGAAAGUUGAAGCUGACCAGGAUCCUGAAGUGAGGAGCAGUCGCUCUCCCAUAUAACAGCAUUUGUGAGCAGAAAGUGCGUAAGCAGAGAUGCUGAGACAGUUCAGAAGGAACAACACCAGGAGCCACAGCAGCAGCCAAGGAAACUUAUAUGGAAGUAUUUUUGAUUUUUACUUUUCUUUCCCCUUGCCCCUUCUGACUCUAACAUAACUAAACCAUCACCUUCCCUUUCCCCCUCAUUUCAUCUUCCUUAUUUAAGUGUUGUUGUUUUCUGUUUUUUCAACUACUUGUGUGGUAAUGAUUUUUUUCUUUUGAAUUUUGUUGAUUUGUUGCAUUGAUUUGAAAUUUUACUAAUCUUCUACCAGUUGUAUACUUUCAGGGACUAAAAAGAGGAACAACGAUGGAGGAGCAAGGUCGACCAACAAAAGUUGAGGAGAUGACGAGUCCAUUUCCUAGCUAUAUACAGCAGUCAACAUGACCCAAAGUGGUAAGUAACAAAUUGCUUAUUUAGAUG